AAAAGUGGUCGAAGAUGGGAUUAUGUUAUCCGAGAUCUGGAACCCAUAUCCAAACAUGAUAUAAAACUGUGUGACUUCUCUUUAUGGGAGAGAUGGUUGAUGAUAACCAUAUCCUACAUGAUAUAAAACUGUUAUUGAGCUUAUCCAAGGGAGAUAAGGUGGUUCGGUAAGUUCCGACGCAUCCAACAAGAUGUAAAACUGGGUUCAUCUUAAAUGGGGUGAAUAGCAGCAUCCAACAUGAUGUAAAACUGGUU
rnacentral:lncRNA from 1 species